UAAAUACGCUGCCCAGUACUUGGACUAUAGAAGAGGCUCUUGAUAGAUUAUCGCAAAUACCAAUAGGUUCACAGGCCCUUUUGGUCGAUGCCAUCCGCAAGGUAGGAGAGAGUAUCAGCCAGGGAUUGCAAGCUAGUCAGUCGCAAGUAUUUGCCGCCCUUGCCCCCCUGCAAAGUGGGAAAGGUCCUCGCUCAUCAGGGAGACCUGCACUACGUUGCUAUCGAUGCGGUAUCGUGGGCCAUAUGAAGAGGCAGUGCGGGACAGCGAACGUGUGGUGCCCUCAUUGCCAAUCCAACUCGCACAACGAGACCGUCUGCCGGAGGAAGGCCCAGGGAAACGGGAAGACCAGCGGGAACCGCCGCCCCGCGAUGACACAAAAAGCGGCCUUCCCCUCAACAGCGGCGGCAGCUGCGGGGAAUCCAGCCGAAAUGAAUCCCUUCACCUCCAACCAGCCACCAGAGGGAGCCUUGGGUUGGACUUGGCAACCGCAGUAAAUGUGACUUUGAUGGACAAUAAGCCUGUUAGGGUGAAAACAGGCGUCAUGGGACCUGUAAAAAUUAAUAAUGAGCCCGUCGGAGCGCUUCUGAUUGGAAGGUCAUCGGCGACAUUGAAUGGGGCUUUAGUGUUAACAGGACUUAUCGACAAGGACUUUACUGGGGAGAUACUAAUUAUGGUGUCUGCCAUGUUCCCUCCGUUACAUAUACCAAAGGGAACUCGACUGGCUCAAUUGGUGCCUUUGCCACACUUGACUGAAAAUGUUCCCCCGCUACAUAGUCAACCACGAGGAUCGAGGGCGUUUGGAUCAACGGGAGGAAUAGCGAUGUUGACAAUAGGAUUGAGACAGAGACCCCGAAAAACAGUUGACGUAGCAUACGAGGGCGAGACAGUAAAAAUCGAGGCAUUGCUGGAUACGGGAGCUGAUGUUUCUAUUAUCAGUACACAACGAUGGCCUCCCCAUUGGCCAGCCAUGGACACGAACAUUACAAUUAGUGGAGUUGGGGGAAUGACCUACGCGAAGCGAUCGCCGUUGUUACGAAUAACCAUAGGUGAAAAAGUAGUUACCUGCACCGUGUCAAUUUUACCACUCCCAGAUGGAGUGCAGGCAUUGAUCGGCCGCGACAUACUAGCACAGAUGGGAAUGGUGCUGACAACGGACGGCUGCCCUUUAUAAAUACGGCCAUUGCUUGGACUUUCCCAAUCCCCAUCAGGUGGAAAACUGAACAGCCUGUGUGGGUUGAGCAAUGGCCACUAAAAAGGGAAAGUCUGGUCCAGGCACACGCCCUGGUAAGGGAACAGUAUUCCCAGGGACACUUAAAACUAUCUGUUAGCCCAUGGAAUACCCCUAUUUUUAUAAUAAAAAAGAAGUCAGGAAAAUAUAGGUUGUUACA
rnacentral:lncRNA from 1 species